rnacentral:lncRNA from 1 species
AUUAUGAAUUGAAGAACCUAGAGAACGAUGAAGAACAAACCAGUUGCUGCAAAAGUAUAAUGUUGAGGAAGAUCCGAUAGAUCCGGCUCCUCCUCCGCUCUCCUCUUCUCUCUCCCUAUUGUCUAGAUUACAACUAGAACGAACUAGAACUAGAACUAGAGGAACUAGAACUAGAUGAACUAGAACUAGAUGAACUAGAACUAGAUGAACUAGAGGGAUCCUCUCUACUUGGAUGAAGAAUUGAAACCCUAACUUUGAUUCUGUAGAAGAGGUAUGAUCUCCAGGGGCCAGGGGUCCUUGCUUAUAUAGUCUUUUCAGAUGAAUCUGGGCCAUCGGAUCAAACAAACAUUAAUCGCACGGUUUUUCUUGAUCCCUUAGGUCGGUGGAGCACGAUCCGCGAAACGGGUCCGAAUUGGACACUGUAGCUGGGCGGGCGCCCUAAGGACUAGGGCGGGCGCCCUGUCCCUGAGCCCUCUCGGCUUCCCGUUCGUUUCCGUGGCUUCUGGAGUCUUCUAGAUGAUAGAAAAUUGCACAGUACGUUAAUAUCUCUAUGUAAACCCGACGUGUGGGCCUUUCCUCCAUAUUUCCUGAUAACCCCCUGCAGAAAUAGUCAAACACCAAAACUCGUGGAACUCUGUCAGAUAACACCCUAAGUCUGGGUGUUGGUUGCAUAUAAGUCCUUUUCCAUGAUUAGUUGAUGGUUAAAUGUGAGCAUUAAGGACCGUCAACAAGCUCCCCCAAGCUUAACCUUUGCUCGUCCCUGAGCAAAGAUGAACUCAAGAGUUUCUGCAGUGGUUUCAUGCCUUAAAGGUACACAUGCGUUCAAACAAGAUCUCAUCUCUGAGUUAGGGUAAACUGUUAAGAUUUAAACUUACUCAUUUUACCUUCCACCAUGGGGCUUGCAACCGUCACUUCUGUCUUGAGCAGUUAAAAGAUAGAACGGUCUAGUCAAGUGUCAUGUCUCUUAUUCUUGAUCAGCUAUAGCUCUGGAGUUUUUGCAGAUUUUCAAAUAAAACUCAGAGAUUCCAUGUAUGACUCUCUCUAGUCUCUCUUUUGUGGUAUUUCUGGAUCCUUACCAAGGCAGUAAUGGUGUAUGCCUUCUCUCAAAGUAUGUGGUAUUUUUGGUAUGAGGCAUAGUGGCAUUGCCUUCUCUCUCACCCUACUCUAAUAAGGUUUUGAUAUCUAGAGCUCAUAGGUGGGAGAUAAAGUAUACAUACUUACAAGACAUUUAUUGCAUAGUCAAACCAUGGAUCUAGAAGAACAAGUCAAUAAGUCAAAUCAAGAUGUGCAUGUGUGGCGAAUGAAUGGUGUAUGGUGAUGAUGGUGAUAACAAUGGUGAAAGUCUAAUUCUACUUGUGCUCUUUUGAGGUACUACAUACCUUUCUUGCUCUUAUGAAACUUUUUGAGGAGAAUGAGAUGCUUUAUAUUUUCUUUUUCUUUUCUCUCAGGUGGGUAUCUUGUACCCCUAAUUCUACUAUCGGACACUUGUCCAUUUUUACCUCUCAUCUCACUUUUUCUUUUCUUUCGAGGUUCUGGGCACUUGCCCCUUUUUAUUUCCUCGUAUCUUCUUUUUUCUCUCUUUUUUUAGAGCACUCAUUUCCUGAAAUAAUAUAGCAAGUGGUAGUAACCAAGAUAACUUGAGCAUUUCACAGGGGAAAAACAUAAAUGUUUUUGGCUAUUCUCUCCCGGUUUAGGAGUAGAAUAUUUUUGGGUGGUUCUGGAGAUGGAAAUGUGUGGAUAUAUGUGGAUGCGUACUUCCGGAGCAGAAGCAGCAUGUGUGAGUGAACGUGCAAGUGAAUCUUGAUUUAACCACAUGACAAGCUCCUAAGGGCCUACACAGCUUGACCACACUCAAUGCUCAUAAGCAAUAAAGUAAAUGUAUGGUUCAUAGUCUAAUAAGCAUGUAUAUAUGGCCAUGGUAGGAUUUUAAACUCUCAUCAUACAGGAACUCAUCAUGCAACAUUUUAAAGAUUUUCAAAGAUAAAAUUCUCCAGAAUUCUAGCAUCUCUAGGAACAGAUAAACAGCAGCUCAACCUUCCCAUAUCGUAUCCGUUAACGACUUAGACUUUAGAUCAAGUACUCUUCCCACAAGUUCAGGUUUAGAGCAAAUCUUAAUUAAUAAUAGUCAUGCCUAAACUUGAGAGAGAUUUCAAUUUUGAGAACUAGUCAUGGCAGAGCAACUAUUCAUCAUUUCCAUGUGAGAGCUUACUAUGAGGGUUCAUAGCAAACUCUAUUUAUUUAUUUAUUUAGCAAACUAAGCAAAGAUAUAUAU